UUGACCUCAAAUCAGGUAGGACUACCCGCUGGACUUAA
rnacentral:rRNA from 1 species